rnacentral:rRNA from 1 species
UCGUUCUCCCCGAAAUAGCUUUAGGGCUAGCGUCGGGAGCUCACCUGUGGAGGUAGAGCACUGGACGGCCGCGGGGGCCUCACCGCCUACCAAAGCCGACCAAACUCCGAAUGCCACAGGUCCGGAUCCCGGCAGUCAGAACAUGUGGGCUAAGCUGUGUGUUCGAGAGGGAAACAGCCCAGACCGCCCGCUAAGGUCCCGAAGUCCGUGCUGAGUGGCAAAGGAUGUGCGUUUGCUCAGACAACCAGGAUGUUGGCUUAGAAGCAGCCAUUCAUUUAAAGAGUGCGUAACAGCUCACUGGUCGAGUGGACAUGCGCCGACAAUAUACGGGGCUAAGCACGGCACCGAAGCGGCGGGGUGGCGCCCUUUAGGGCGCGACCGGUAGGGGAGCUUUCCGGCCUGCGGCGAAGCCGAGGGACGACCCUCGGUGGAGCGGCCGGAAGUGAGAAUGCUGGCAUGAGUAGCGAGAGCGGCGUGGGAAACGCCGCCGCCGUAAACCCAAGGUUUCCCGGGCGAGGCUAAUCCCCCCGGGGUCAGUCGGGAGCUAAGGCGAGGCCGGGAGGCGUAGCCGAUGCACAGCGGGUCGACAUUCCCGCACCCCCGACGCGGAGUCUGACCGAAGGUGUGACGGAGGAGGGUAGCCGGACGGGGUUCUGGACGUCCCCGCGAUGGCGCGUAGGGCGAUGCCUUGUGAAACGCGGGCAUCACGUGGCCUGAGGCGCCGGACGAAGCGAGCGAGCGAAGCCGGUGAGCCCAUGCUCCCAAGAAAAGCACCUAGGGAUCCGCUAGGGGCCCGUACCGCAAACCGACACAGGUGGGUGGGUAGAACAUACCAAGGCGAUCGGGAGAACCAUGGUUAAGGAACUCGGCAAAACUGCCCCGUAACUUCGGGAGAAGGGGUGCCGGCGUGGACGUGGAGGGGCUUGCCCCCCGAGCGCGGGCCGGCCACAGCGAAGAGGUCCAAACGACUGUUUAUCAAAAACACAGGACUCUGCUCAAGCCGUAAGGCGACGCAUAGGGUCUGACGCCUGCCCGGUGCCGGAAGGUCACGGGGAGCGGUCAACCUCCGGGUGAAGCCGCGAACCCAAGCCCCGGUAAACGGCGGCCGUAACUAUAACGGUCCUAAGGUAGCGAAAUUCCUUGUCGGGUAAGUUCCGACCUGCACGAAAGGCGCAACGACUUGGGCGCUGUCUCGACCAUGGACCCGGUGAAAUUGCACUAGUCGUGAAGAUGCGACUUACCCGCGGAAGGACGGGAAGACCCCGUGAACCUUUACUGCAGCUAGGCAUUGGCUGCCGGACCGUCGCGUAGAGGAUAGGUGGGAGGCAACGAACCGAGGGCGCCAGCCCCCGGGGAGCCACCCUUGGAAUACCACCCCCGACGCUCUGGCAUCCUAACCCCACGCCCUGACCGGGGUGGGGGACCGUGCCUGGUGGGUAGUUUGACUGGGGCGGUCGCCUCCCAAAGAGUAACGGAGGCGCGCGAAGGUCUGCUCGGGACGGUCGGCAACCGUCCUCAAGAGUGCAAGAGCGUAAGCAGGCUUGACUGCGAGGCCAACAAGCCGAGCAGGUGGGAAACCAGGCUCUAGUGAUCCGGCGGCCCAGAGUGGAAUGGCCGUCGCUCAACGGAUAAAAGGUACUCCGGGGAUAACAGGCUGAUCUUCCCCAAGAGUCCACAUCGACGGGAAGGUUUGGCACCUCGAUGUCGGCUCAUCGCAUCCUGGGGCUGGAGCAGGUCCCAAGGGUAUGGCUGUUCGCCAUUCAAAGCGGUACGCGAGCUGGGUUCAGAACGUCGUGAGACAGUUCGGUCACUAUCCUCCGUGGGCGCAGGAAGAUUGAGGGAGGCUGCCCCUAGUACGAGAGGACCGGGGUGGACGGACCUCCUGUGCACGGGUUGUCGACCAACGGCACCGCCCGGUAGCAGAGUCCGGUCUGGAUAACCGCUGAAGGCAUCUAAGCGGGAAGCCAGUCCCGAGAUGAGUCUUCCCUUCGGUAAGGGCCCUCGU